rnacentral:pre_miRNA from 9 species
UCUCGAUAGCGUAAAAGUUAACUAAAAUUUGUAUGGAGUUGGAACGUUUGCAUUCGUUUGCCGAUGGGGGCGCUGUACCGACUGCAUACAAAUUUGAAUUAACUUUUUCGCGCUAAG